rnacentral:misc_RNA from 1 species
ACAACUUAGCUACAGUCC